GCAAGUCGAACGAGAACGGGUUAUAGUUUACUAUAACUGUCAGCUAAGUGGCGCACGGGUGAGUAAUAUAUAGGUAACGUGCCCUAGAGAGGGGGAUAACAUUUGGAAACGAACGCUAAUACCCUAUAUGCCUUUAAAACAUAAGUUUGCAAGGGAAAUAUUUAUAGCUCUAGGAUCGGCCUGUACGGUAUCAGCUAGUUGGUGAGGUAAUGGCUCACCAAGGCAAUGACGCCUAACUGGUUUGAGAGGAUGAUC
rnacentral:rRNA from 1 species